GAUGAACGCUGGCGGCGUGCCUAAUACAUGCAAGUCGAGCGAACGGACGAGAAGCUUGCUUCUCUGAUGUUAGCGGCGGACGGGUGAGUAACACGUGGAUAACCUACCUAUAAGACUGGGAUAACUUCGGGAAACCGGAGCUAAUACCGUAUAAUAUUUUGAACCGCAUGGUUCAAAAGUGAAAGACGGUCUUGCUGUCACUUAUAGAUGGAUCCGCGCUGCAUUAGCUAGUUGGUAAGGUAACGGCUUACCAAGGCAACGAUUCAUAGCCGACCUGAGAGGGUGAUCGGCCACACUGGAACUGAGACACGGUCCAGACUCCUACGGGAGGCAGCAGUAGGGAAUCUUCCGCAAUGGGCGAAAGCCUGACGGAGCAACGCCGCGUGAGUGAUGAAGGUCUUCGGAUCGUAAAACUCUGUUAUUAGGGAAGAACAUAUGUGUAAGUAACUGUGCACAUCUUGACGGUACCUAAUCAGAAAGCCACGGCUAACUACGUG
rnacentral:rRNA from 1 species